rnacentral:rRNA from 1 species
GAUCCUGGCUCAGAAUGAACGUUGGCGGCGUGGAUUAGGCAUGCAAGUCGAGCGAGAACCCGCAAGGGGGACAGCGGCGAACGGGUAGGAAUACGUAGGUAACGUACCCUCGGGGCGAGGACAGCCACGGGAAACUGUGGGUAAUACUCGAUAAACUUCCCAAUCAUUAUGGAAGGGGAAGCAAUGGGUGUGAUUCCACCUGAGGAGCGGCUUACGCAGUAUCAGCUAGUUGGUGAGGUAACGGCUCACCAAGGCUACGACGCUUAGGGGGUGUGAGAGCAUGGCCCCCCACCACUGGCACUGAGACACUGGCCAGACACCUACGGGUGGCUGCAGUCGAGAAUCUUCGGCAAUGGACGCAAGUCUGACCGAGCGACGCCGCGUGUGGGAUGAAGGCCUUCGGGUUGUAAACCACUGUCAGAGGGGAUGAAGUGUACGAGAGUUAUCUCUUGUAUUUGACAGAGCCUCAGAGGAAGCACGGGCUAAGUUCGUG